ensembl:rRNA 5S_rRNA 5S ribosomal RNA
ACCUAUGGCCAUACUUACAUGAAAGGGCUUGCUUCCUUCUGGUCUUAGAAACUAAGCAUGAUUGGGCCUGGUUAGUACUUCGAUGGAAAACCAACAAUGUUAAGUUGAAUCUUUGAAGCCAGCUU